rnacentral:rRNA from 1 species
GUGGCGCACGGCUGAGUAACACGUGGGAACCCGCCCCCCGGUGGGGGAUAACGCGACGAAAGUUGCGCUAAUCCCGCAUACGUCCUUCGGGGGAAAGCGCAGUGCGCGCCGGGGGAGGGGCCUGCGGCCAUCAGGUCGUUGGUGGGGUAAUGGCCUACCAAGCCGAUGACGGGUAGCUGGUCUGGGAGGAUGACCAGCCAGACUGGGACUGAGGCACGGCCCAGACUCCUACGGGAGGCAGCAGCAAGGAAUUUUCGGCAAUGGGCGCAAGCUGACCGAGCAACGCCGCGUGCGGGAUGACGGCCUUCGGGUUGUAAACCGCUUUUCGGGGGGACGACCCUGACGUACCCCCGGAAUCAGCCCCGGCUAACUCUGUGCCAGCAGCCGCGGUAAGACAGAGGGGGCGAGCGUUGUCCGGAGUCACUGGGCGUAAAGCGCGCGCAGCGGCAACCUAAGUGUCGUGUGAAAGCCCCCGGCUCAACCGGGGGAGGCCAUGGCAAACUGGGUCGCUCGAGCUGCGGAGAGGCCCCUCGAAUUGCCGGUGUAGCGGUGAAAUGCGUAGAGAUCGGCAGGAAGACCAAGGGGGAAGCCAGGGGGCUGGCCGCAGCUGACGCUGAGGCGCGACAGCGUGGGGAGCAAACCGGAUUAGAUACCCGGGUAGUCCACGCCGUAAACGAUGACCACUCGGCGUGUGGCGACUAUUGACGUCGCGGCGCGCCCUAGCUCACGCGAUAAGUGGUCCGCCUGGGAACUACGAGCGCAAGCUUAAAACUCAAAGGAAUUGACGGGGGCCCGCACAAGCAGCGGAGCGUGUGGUUUAAUUCGACGCAACCCGAAGAACCUUACCCAGACUGGACAUGACGGUGCAGACGGCGGAAACGUCGUCGCCUCCGAGGGCCCGU